GACGAACGCUGGCGGCGUGCCUAAUACAUGCAAGUCGAACGCAGUGGGGACGGGUGAGUAACACGUGGGUAACCUCCCAUCAGAGGGGAUAACCCUUGGAAACAGGCGCUAACACGACACUGAUGGAUGGAGCCGCGGUGCAUUAGCUAGUUGGGGGGGUAACGGCUCACCAAGGCUACGAUGCAUCGCCGACCUGAGAGGGUGAGCGGCCACACUGGAACUGAGACACGGCCCAGACUCCUACGGUAGGCAGCAGUAGGGAAUCUUCGGCAAUGGACGAAAGUCUGACCGAGCAACGCCGCGUGUGUGAAGAAGGUUUUCGGGUCGUAAAACUCUUUUGUUGGGGAAGCGGUAUCUAACCAAAAAGCCACGGCUAACUACGUGCCAGCAGCCGCGGUAAUUC
rnacentral:rRNA from 1 species